ACAGAUAGAACAAGAUCUGCUAACAAACCAACCUAAUCCUGAGCUUUCUGCCAUUGCGGCUCAUUUUCACUAUUGCCUGGGAUUUUAGGAAAUGAAUCUUUUUUUUUUCAUUUCAGUGUAAUGCAAAUGCCUUUUUGUACAUUCUACUAAGUAUUCCCCCCAUCUUAAAUUGCUUUACAUUGAGUGAUUGUCUAGUCACACACAUUCUCUCUCUCUCUCUCUCUCUCUCUCUGCUUUUUCUCUACAUUUAUUAGGAAGUAGGUCUUCGAUCUCCCCAAUCUCUCUCUCUCUCUCUCUUUACUCUUUCUCUACAUAUAUUACAGAUUGUUUUCACGCGGUCUAUCAACUUCCUUCUUUGUCUUCGAUUGUCUCAAGAGUUAAUUAAACAAAUUCAUACAUUUCUUUUGUUUUCUCUUCAGAUCCUAUUCUCCUUGAGUAUCUAAAAUGUUAUGCUUUCUCAUUGAUUCAGAUGUCGAUCACUACUGCUUUUGCCUUUGCUAGUUCGAUUUCUCAUUUGUAGCCUUGUAAGUUCUAUUGAAUUUGAGUAGAAAUGGAGUUUUGAUAUCAAUACAUGUUGGUCUACUGUUUUGCUAAGCUAAUUCUGAGGAAUUCUGUUGAAUCUCUUUGGAAUUUAUUGGGUUUUUGUUUUUAUUGCAUAAAUUCAAUCAAGGCACUACAUUGCACUUCUAGUUGGGGUUUUAAUGACGUUUAAUUAUCAUAAUAAGUAUAGAUGAAUCCAGUAAGGAGUUGUUUUGAAGUGGUUUAUAGUUCAGUUGCUUUUGACAUUCUUGGUAUGUUUGUAAUUUAGAUUUGAUCUGAAGCUAUUCAUGUGUGUUUGGAUUGAUUCACAUUCUCGUAAGGAAUGUAUUGAGGUUUGUUUGUUUUGAAGUGAUUUUAAUUCAAUUGGUGUUGAUUUAUGGACAAAUUGGUAAGCACAAAUUUGUUUUUUUUUUUGGGUCCCAAAAUUUGAUGGAGUUUUGCAGGAGGCUUUAUUCUUUUGACUGUGUUUUGGAGGCAGAUCUGAAGAUCUCACAUCAUCAGCAAAGCUGGCGGUGACACUAGCUUGGAGGUUUGCUCCCUACAAUGGCAGCAACCUUGCUAGUAUUGAUCUGGGUAUUUAUGAUGCUGACCAAUCUCCAAUUCUUCUCAGUGCCAUUUUGGUUUUUUCAUUUUUCUAAUUUUUGCUUUGAUCACAUUCAAGGCUGUUUAUCUUAUUUACCAUCUUUGAAUUUAAUUUUUUGUAAAAUUUUGCUUUCUAUACUCAUUAUGGUCUGGGAAUUGAGAGCUUUCUACUAGCCAUUAACUCUGUUUUCUUUUUCAAUUUUGUUAUAGGAGUUAGUAUUCUAGGGAAUGUAUAAUAAAUGUGUAUAUAUUACAUUUCUAUUUUUAUAAUUUUUUAAAAAUAUUUUUGUUCUUAUUAAAAUUUUGGAUUCUAAAUUGCAGGUGGAGUUGAAUGCUAUGUAGUGGCUAGUAAAUGAGAUUUAAUCAGAAGCAAAUCAUUUUCAUAGAUUGUUGGUUGAUGCCUUUCUGGUUAGUUCCUCGGCUCAAUUUAUCCAUCAAUUCAAUCUCAAACCCUUCAAAUGCCAAACUAAAAAGAUUGAGCAGCAGCAAUGGUGAAUUGAUUUAUCUAGGGUUUCGAGUGCGGUGUUAGUGUCUUUGAUCAUGUGGGACAAGCAGGUGGCGUUGGAUGUUGAUCGUUGGAAACAGUGAGUAGAAGCUCAACGAUGAAGAGAUGCAGAUCUGCUCUCUUCGAUCAGAUCUGUUCUCUCUCUCUCUCUCUCUCUGAUCUGCUAACAUGGUAAUAUCAGAUCUGCUUUGUCUCUCUCUAGUCCAUUAUUUUGCCUUUUUUUGGAAUCUCAUUUUGGCAUUUCUUGCUUUCUAACUCUUCUAAUAAUCAUUUUGGUGUAGUUCCCAUGUAAAUUGAUAAACUUACAUCUUGGUAUGUGCUCUGAGUUUUCUUCUUUUUCAAGCUGCUACACAUGGGUGGUCUUGUUAUUGAUUACUUGUGCAUUUGUUCACUAGGUGCCACUUGUACCAAGCACAUUUGGAAGCAGCAGGAGUAGGGGCUGUCGGGUUGUAACGGAGAGGGGUGGAGUUGGGUUGUUGCAGUGGUAGCUAGGAUGUGGAGGGAGGGGCUUGUUGAGUGGGGUUGGGAGGGGCUGGGAGUAGCAGGAGAGCGACAUGGGGGUUGUGGGGAGUGUGGUGAUGGUGGAGGGGCUAAGAAUGGUGGGAGAGGGCGGCAGUGGAGGUGCUAGAUACCAAGGGAGGCUUAUGCAGAGGUGGACGGACCUGUAGAGAGUGCUUGGGUUGUCAAUAAGAAAGGAAGAGGGCUGAGGCUUUACCAAUUAAGUUUGUUUGCACCUUUGAAAUAUUGAUAAUUUGUACCUUCAAAAAUCUUAUAACUAAAAAAACAUUGCCAUCAACAUAAAAGGUUUUGGUUUUUCUUUUAUUUAUUUUUCAUUUUUUGUUUUCAGAUACUUUAAAGAACUAUUAUAGUUUCAUGUUAAAUUUUUUAUGCACUCAGUAUAUGCAUUAUAAUUCUUAUACCUUGUGGAAUGACUCUUGUAUCUUAUAGAAAAUGUGGGUUUACAGAGUAAAUUUGGCCAUGUAUUUAGAAGGUCCCUUCCCUAGUUUCUUUUACUAGGGAAGGGGGGAAAAACCAGUCACACACCCUUUACCUAGUGAUCAGGGAUAGGUUCGUGUAAUGGGAGUUGUGAAUGUGUUUAUUACUCAAUCCAUUUCAUUGAACCUUUCUUCUUGCAGGUAUCAAAACUAGGAUAUGGCUGCAUGGGGCUUUCUGGAAUCUACAAUUCUCCUGUCUCUGAAGAGGAUGACACUGCAAUAAUAAAGUACGCAUAUAGUAGAGGGAUCACAUUCUUUGAUACCUCCGAUAUUUACGGUGUUGACCAUGCAAAUGAAAUAUUGGUGGGAAAGGUUAUUACAUAAGGACAUGUUUUUUAUUGCAAUUUUGAUAGUCCACCAUGCUUUCUUGGAGCAGAACAAAACUUGGAAUACAUUAAAAAUAAUUCUGCACCUGGAUUUUGACUCCUUAUUGUUUAUAAUAAUGAAUUUGUUCACUAGUUUUUAAUUUCUCACUUUUCUAAAUCUAUUAAGACAUGAUGUGAUUUGGUGUUGGAAAUUAGUAAAUAAUUGUAGUUUUUAAUUGUUUUAUUAACAAAACAAUUGAUGUGUUCUAAUUGAUGUUUUUUGGGAUGAUGUUGUGGAAUAUUUUGCUACAACAACCUGGUGAAGGAUGUGAUUCUACAAAGGUGUGCAACAGGGAAUCAUUUGGGCAGUACCUCCCACUAGUAUUGGCGACUGGGCUGAACAUUUGCUUCAUAAAGGUCCAUCUGCUUUCAAAGAAUACAUAGAGGAGUGUAAACAAUUGGGAUUUGAUAUGAUUGAGCUAAAUGUGGGAUCACUCGGAGUUCUUGAAGAAACACUCUUGAGAUUUAUCUGAUUGAGUAAUAGUGGUGGCCCGAAAGCCAAGCCUCAAUUUGCUGUCAAGUUUAAAAAGUCUGAUAUCCCCAUGAAAGGUGAUAGAGCAUUUGGAGCUUAUGUGGUCCCAGUGUCGCAAUCAUCUGGCAAUUACGUAAUUUAGAAAAGGCUUUUGGAGGAGAUGUUAGAGUUCGUGACCGCACUGCUCUCAUCCUGAAUAUAUUCAACCAGAGGGCAGCAACACAUGAAGCAGCUUUACAGGUUGCAUUAGCACAAAUGGAACAUCAGUUACCUCAACUUACAAAAAUGUGGAGUCACCUUGAGCGUCAAGCCGGAGGCAGGGUGAAAGGAAUGUGUGAGAAACAAAUUGAGGUGGACAAGCAUAUUUUACGUACGCAAGUAACUUAUGAUUAAAAUCAUAUGUUGCAGUUUGGUUAGACAAGGAAUGUAACUUAUAUGAACUCGGGAAAAAUUGGGAAACUUUUUUCCAAAGUUAAAGAAGUUCGAAAUUGAUGCUUCGAAGUGUUGUGUAUCAAUCAUAUUUGUACCUUUUUUUUUUUUGUUACAUUUAUUCUUUUCUUAGUAUUUUAAAUUUGAGAUGAUGAUAGAGUAUAUGAAUUUGGUUGUGAUUUUUGUAAUUUCAAUUUUGAUGUGUUUGGUUGAA